rnacentral:rRNA from 1 species
GAGUGAAGCGGCAACAGCUCAAAUUUGAAAUCUGGUACUUUCAGUGCCCGAGUUGUAAUUUGUAGAGGAUGUUUCGGCGUCGGCGCCACCUGAAGUUCCUUGGAACGGGACGUCAAAGAGGGUGAGAGCCCCGUGUCUGGGUGGAUGACUUCGCCAUGUGAAACUCCUUCGACGAGUCGAGUUGUUUGGGAAUGCAGCUCAAAACGGGAGGUAAAUUUCUUCCAAAGCUAAAUACCGGCCAGAGACCGAUAGUGCACAAGUAGAGUGAUCGAAAGAUGAAAAGCACUUUGGAAAGAGAGUCAAACAGCGCGUGAAAUUGUUAAAAGGGAAGCGCUUGAGGUCAGACUUGGUCGCCGUUGCUCGGCGGGGCUCUCGCCCCGUUUGCUCUUCGGCGAUCAGGCCAGCAUCAACUUGGACGGUUGGAUAAAGACCGUGGGAAUGUGGCUCCCCCGGGAGUGUUAUAGCCCACGGUGGAAUGCAGCCAGUCCGGGUUGAGGUCUGCGCAU